GAGACCCACGCCAACAGUUGCCAGCAUGUCCUCCGGGAUGGUGGGGACACUGUUGGGACCGCCUCUGCUAAAGAGGAGGAAGGAAUGGGCAACGGUAGGUCAGCAUGCCCCGAAUUAUCCGGGCUACACGCGGGCUACAAUGGUCAGGACAAUGGGUAUCGACACCGAGAGGUGAAGGCAAUCUCUUAAACCUGUCCUUAGUUUGGAUUGUGGGCUGCAACUCGCCCACAUGAAGCUGGAAUCCGUAGUAAUCGCGUCUCAAAAUGGCGCGGUGAAUAU
rnacentral:rRNA from 1 species